rnacentral:rRNA from 1 species
CCUACGGGGGGCUGCAGUGGGGAAUCUUGCACAAUGGGGGAAACCCUGAUGCAGCGACGCCGCGUGAACGAUGAAGCCCUUCGGGGUGUAAAGUUCUUUCGACAGGAACGAUAAUGACGGUACCUGGAGAAGAAGCUGCGGCUAACUACGUGCCAGCAGCCGCGGUAAUACGUAGGCAGCAAACGUUGUUCGGAAUUAUUGGGCGUAAAGAGUGUGUAGGCGGUUUUGUAAGUUUGGUGUGAAAUCUCCCGGCUUAACUGGGAGGGUGCGCCGAAUACUGCAAGACUUGAGUACUGGAGAGGAUAGCGGAAUUCCUGGUGUAGCGGUGAAAUGCGUAGAUAUCAGGAGGAACACCGGCGGUGUAGACGGCUAUCUGGACAGUCACUGACGCUGAGACACGAAAGCGUGGGUAGCAAACAGGAUUAGAUACCCCAGUAGUC